CUUGAAGACACCUUUUGGGAAAAUAAGGAUUCUGCCAUUUCUUUGAUAUGUCACUGUGGUGCAUCUGUUGACACUGACGUGCCUGGUUCCACCUCCCUUCACAGCUUGUACCUGUUAGAAAUCAUUGUCUUUGUCCCUGAGAGGAGACAGAGGAGCAGACAGAGGAGCAGACAGAGGAGACAGACAGAGGAGGAGACAGAGGAGGAGACAGAGGAGACAGACAGAGGAGAAGACAGAGGAGACAAACAGAGACAGACAGACAGAGGAGACAGACAUAGGAGACGGACAGAGGACUCAGACAGAAGAGACAGACAGAGGAGACGACAGACAGAGGAGACAGACAGAGGAGACCGACAGACAGAGGAGCAGACAGAGGAGACAGACAGAGGAGAAGACAGAGGAGACAGACAGAGGAGACAGAGGAGACAGAGGAGGAGACAGACAGACAGAGCAGCAGACAGAGGAGCAGACAGAGGAGACAGACAGAGCAGCAGACAGAGGAGACAGACAGAAGAGACAGAGGAGAAAGACAGAGGAGACAGACAGAGGAGAGAGACAGAAGAGACAGAGGAGAGAGACAGAGGAGCAGACAGAGGAAAAGAGACAGACAGAGGAGACAGACAGAAGAGACAGAGGAGAGAGACAGAGGAGGAGACAGAGGAGCAGACAGAGGAAAAGAGACAGACAGAGGAGACAGACAGAGCAGACAGACAGAGGAGACAGACAGAAGAGACAGAGGAGACAGACAGAGGAGGAGACAGAGGAGACAGACAGAAGAGACAGAGGAGACAGACAGAGGAGACAGACAGAAGAGACAGAGGAGACAGACAGAGGAGGAGACAGAGGAGACAGACAGAGGAGACAGACAGAAGAGACAGACAGAAGAGACAGAGGAGACAGACAGAGGAGACAGACAGAGGAGACAGACAGAAGAGACAGAGGAGACAGACAGAGGAGACAGACAGAGGAGACAGACAGAGGAGCAGACAGAGGAGACAGACAGAGGAGAAAGACAGAGGAGAGAGACAGAGGAGACAGAGGAGAGAGACAGAGGAGGAGACAGAGGAGCAGACAGAGGAGAAGAGACAGAGGAGACAGACAGAGGAGGAGACAGAGCAGACAGAGGAGAAGAGACAGACAGAGGAGACAGACAGAGGAGACAGAGCAGACAGACAGAGGAGACAGACAGAAGAGACAGACAGAGGAGACAGAGGAGACAGACAGAGGAGACAGAGGAGACAGACAGAAGAGACAGAGGAGACAGACAGAGGAGACAGACAGAAGAGACAGAGGAGACAGACAGAGGAGACAGACAGAGGAGACAGACAGAGGAGCAGACAGAGGAGACAGACAGAGGAGCAGACAGAGGAGACAGACAGAGGAGACAGACAGAGGAGCAGACAGAGGAGACAGACAGAGGAGACAGACAGAGGAGACAGAUGA
ensembl:lncRNA